AGCAGCAUGGCGCACAAGGAAGCGCGCAGGGCUCAUAGCUUAGAAACUCAUGUUUCUAAGUCUAGUAAACUCUGAGGUCACUCGAUUGAAACGAGUUGCUGCUA